rnacentral:lncRNA from 1 species
UUUUUUUUUUUUUUUACUGAGGUGAAGUUACCCAUGACACAAAAUGAACUGCUUUAAGGCAGACGGUUCCAUGGCAUCUAGUAGUCUAGGGUGUCGCGCCACACCACCCCAGCUGGUUGCAUUUCCAUCACUCCACAACAAGGCCCCUCACCUCUGAAGCAACCUUCCCCCGUGGUCUCCCCGCCUCUGCCCAGCCCCCCACCCCUGGCAACCACUACUCUACUUUCCGUUUCCGUGGACUUGCCUAUUCUGGAUUCCUCGUUCAUCCACUACAGACUUUUGUGUCUAGCUGUUCUGCUGAGAUGUUUUUGGGGUUUUUCUGCAUUGGUUGAACGCUUUUUCCCCAUUGGAGAGACCAUGGUUUACCAUCACCCGCUGGUGGGUGCCAUGGUUUGCUGUCACCGCUGGUGGGUGCUAUGGUUUACAGUCACGUGGUGGUGGGUGCCAUGGUUUACCGUCACCUGCUGGUGGGCACUAUGGUUUACCAUCACCCGCUGGUAGACACUUAAGUUGCCCACCUCCUGGACCUAUAGGUACAGCUACAAGCAUACAUGCCCAUGUAACUACAGGAGAAUGUGCUCCCAGUUUUGAGAAGGUUCAUAUCUAGGAGUGGAACUGCUCGGUCACACGUUGUAUCUGUGUUUCCAACCCUCCGAGGAGCCAUCUCUGCCUUCCAGAGUGGCUGCAUUACGUUCUGUUCCCUCCAGCAACGCACGAGCAGCGUGUGAACUGCUCUGUCUCCAUAUCCUCCCCAACACUUGUUACUACCUGUUUGUUUUUAUCCUGGUGGUAUAUAAAGUGGCUGUCAACAAACUCUUCACACACUUGACCUUCUGAAAUCCAUAAGUGAUACUCAGGGGGGUCGCUGGCAUGAUGCCUCUUGUCCAUAUGGAAAAGUCUGAGCAAGAAACGAAGUGCAAAAGGGCAGGGAGCCAGGACGUCAUGUCUAAAACCCCAGAGCAGGUGGGCACAAGACCUGGACCUGGCAGCCGGGGUUCACACAUCCUCCCCAGACUCCUUCUGGGAGCCCACCAGCAUGGGGCUAUCACUAUCGGCCACUGCUCCUGUGGCACCGGGCAGGUUCCCUCCCCCAGAUAAGAUCAGGUGUAAUGACCGCUGCCAGGGCAUGUCUUCCCAAGGCCCGGGCACCCGGCACCGCCCGGCAGCAUCAGUGCUUGAUCAACUCACGAUGGUUAUGUACUGCUGUCCUGCCCCCUGUUUUCUGUGUGUGUUCUAGCUUCUGAACCUACUGAAGUGUCCCGAAGACAUCUGUGUAGGGGGAUCGGGGCACCUCAAAGCACAGCACUGGUUAAAACGCAGAUGCAAAACCCACCAAACCCUGUUCUUGACUUGACUAUGGUUACCCGAGGCACUCUUGGGCCAGGACCUUUGCACGCACUGCUUCCUCAGCAUGGAAUGUUCUUCUCGUGGAGACAACCCAGCCUACGGGCACCAGCUCUGGGGCUCUCUGCCCUCCCUCCAGGCUAGAGGAGCUGUUCCCCCUUAGGGCUCCCCUCUCCUGGCCCCUCUUCCUCUGUCCUGUAACCACCUGCCUUCUUGUCUACAGGUGCGUGUCCCCCACCCACAUCCUUACCCACCGAUGAGGCUAUAGAUCCACAAGGGCAGGACCAGUCAGAUUCUCAUGUGUAUGUCCCGUCUCCUAUGGCGCUUUGACACAGAGCAUUCAUUCACUCGUUUAUUUAAUCACCCAACAAAUAGUCGUUGAGCACCUACUGUGUGCCAGGCCCGCCGACAAGCCCAGCUACCGCCUCACGGAGCGUGGCUGAGUCUUCACGGUAUGUGUGUUGUGUAGACAAAGAUGUGAAUGCUCAUAGUGGGGCCAAUUAUAUGAGCCAUGAGAUUGUGUGCAUGUGUGUAUGUGCAUGCAUGAGUGUGAUGUGUGUAUAGGUGUGUUUGCAUGUACGUGGGAGCGUUGAGAUGUGCUGAGUGUGUGUACAUGUGCAUGCAAGAGUGUGCAUGGUAUGUGUUUUCAUAUGUAUUGUGCAUGAGUGUGAGGUGUGCAUGGUGUGUGUGUCUGUAUGGGUGAGUGUGUGGAUGGACGUGUAUAUACGAGUGUGUGUGGUUAUAUGCAGAUAUACUUAUGAACGUGUGUGUAUGACGAGUAUGCCAUACAGUAUGUGUGUAUCAUGUGUGUGCUGUACACGUGUGGACACAUGUGGACAGGCAGACCCCCGGGGCCCCAACCUCCCAUCCCCAUCAAGUUUUCACCGCGGCGCCCAGCCAGCCGCAGGCAGAGAAGGGAAGCUACCUCUGCCCCGUGCUCUUUCAGCCACUCCCAGGGAAAAGGAAAUUGGGCACUUGCCCAAAGGCUCUGCUGAUUUUUAAGAGAAUGGGGGAUGGACAAUUGCCUGCAAAUGUCUCUUGCAGAUGGAAUUCAUCAACAGGUGAGAGAGACCAAAACAAAACACCCAGACCAACCCAGAUCGUCCUCGUCCGGGGAGGGCUGCCGCUCGGUCCUCCCGGUUCGCAUUCUGUGCAAGCUGUCUCCUCCUCCGGCUAAAAGCGGCUGGGGGCUGCGAAGGCUGAGGGCUCUCAACUUCCUAAUGUCGGGUCCAGAUUACCCUAAAGGAAGGUGGCUGGUCCCUGAGCUGAGAGGGUCUGGUUCUCUUUCAAAACCUACUGCAGCCACAUGGCCUCCAGAACCCCACAUCGCCCCAAGUCAGGGAGUAUGGUGCGGUAUGGGGAGAAACCGCAGCACAAAAUGACGUCCGCCCACCGGAGUCCUCACACGGCACAGCCCAUGAACCUGCUGGAAGGUGCCAAAAGCCCCCGCCUCCCACCCCGAAGUAAGGACUGCAAGCCUCAUCCUCUCCCUGUGGCUGACGGCACUUGGGAAGCAGGUGUUCACCUGGAGCGUGGAAACCCAAGGCUGGGGGAAGAGCCACGACCACACACACCCAAGACUGGCUUCUUUCUUUCCCUUUUGCAGGCCCACACCUGGGUGGUAGUGAUGGGGGGAGGCGGGGAAGCACAGGGUGCUGGGCAGCCAGCAGUGAGCCCACUUGGGCCCCAGCCCGGGAAGUGCACACACCUGCACGCCCAGCCUGUGCCAUCCUUCUGGGGCCUGGCCAGCAGCCGCUCGCGUUGGCUUCCACAGGGCACACAGCUGCCAUGCCAUCUGCAGCACAGCCGGCAGCCCUGGGCCCUGUGCCCUGGGCAAGUGGCCCCACCAGCCCCGCAUGGGCUGGAGGUAGAGAUACUGGGACCUGCCCAGCUGCCCUGAGCAGGUGGCCAGGGGUUCUGGGGAGCAGGUGUGGGCGGCACACAGGGAGGCAGGAGAGAUGGUGCCCCCUCUGCAGGGACAUGCUCGGGACGGGUUAACGCAGGCUGGGUUUGAGCAGCCUCCUUCCAGGGCCUGCUGCCCCCACAAACACUCUGGCCCUGCUCCCAAGCCCCUCAGGGUCCCACUCCCGUCCACACGAGGGCCUUGCCGGCAGCAUUUUCUAAUAAAGCGCAAAUCAGCAAUGGCCUUGCUGAGGAAUGAAAGAAAGACCAAAAAGAAAAAAAAAAAAAUCACUGUAAACAAAAUCCCUGUCACCAUGGAAACCAUUAAAAAUAGCUUGCCCACCCCACUCCCUUCUUCCCGGGUAAUGUACAGCUGAGUGCCUUCACACCACAUUAUUAUUACUCUUUAAUGAUGAAUGAUCUCUCCCUUUCCAUAGAAAGAUGGAUCAGCACACGAAACUUCCCAAACGGAGCCCCACGUUAGGACGCAUCUGAAGGUGGACUGCGUGGGGGCUGCGGGCUUUCAACACGGUUAACCCCGUCUGUUCCACUCAGUCUUGCCAUCCGUCCGUCCAUCUGCCUGUCUGCUCCGAGGUCAUGCGGAUAGGGGAAGCUGGCCUGGCUGUGCUGAGGGGAAGCAGAGCCCCACAGAGGUGGUCCCGUGGGGAGAACCAAACACACGGGUCCUCCUGCUGGGGCCAGAGGGCUCUGGUCUCGGCCCCCGUGGGCAACGAUGGGGUGGCAUCCGGCCACUUACCUGGUCAUCUCCUAAAUACCCAUGACUAUAGGAGGAACAGCCGGAUGACUGGCUGGCCUGGCAGUGGGGGGCUGGGAUGGAGCCAGGGCUGCAGGAGAGGCCAGCACUGUCCCACCCUCCAUCCCCGGGGGGCUGCCCGGCCACCGAUUCCCCGCCACUGCCAGCACGCACCAGCAGCCUCCAUGGCCCACCGCCUCUCCCGAGUGGAUGAACCCAUGCUGUGACCAUCUCUGCUGGGCUGCAAUGUCACCAGCAGCGAUCUGAGUCUGGGGCACUCAAGUGACCUCUGAGACCACUCAGAAGCUCAGGCUGCAUCUGUGAGGACCUCCAAGCCUUGAUCCCUCGGUCCUGAAAAGCAGGACAGAACCUUUGUAUGCUUGAAAGCCCAGGCGGUUCCGAACGGGCAAAGCCCUGACUCGCAGAACUCCACCCACGGAGGGGCAUGGGCGGCAGAGCAAGGGGUCAUAGGGCAGUGUGCAUGUGCUGGGGGGAGGUGGGGGCCAGGCUGCGGACCCUGAGAGGGGCUCCCCACUCCCUGGAGCCAGCCCCUCCCACCUCCCAAGUGGAGACCCAGACACAGGAAAGUAGGAUGUAGUUGGUGGGUUGGGUGGGGGGAGGCCAGGGGCCGGGGCAGGGGGCACAGGGAGUUAGUGUGUGACGAGGGCAGAUUCAGUUUUGGGAAGUGAAGAAAGUUCUGGAGGUGGAUGGUGGUGAUGGUUGCACAACAACAUGAAUGGAUGUAAUGCCACUGAGCUGCACGCUUGAAUGUGGUUAAAAUGGUAAUUUAUCUGUUAUGUGUAUUUGGCCACAUUGUUUUUUAAAAGCAGAAUAGUCUCUGGGCUGCCCCAUAUGCUGCAUGCCGCGGGGUGUCCCUCCCUACGUGCGCCUGCUCUCCUCAACACACACACUCAUGUCUUCCACACUAAAAGUCAGCCAAGUGCUUUCAACAACAAAAGAAAGGUACCUGCCCCCAAUUUUUUCUCCAUCAGAUAAUCUCCUAAAGCAACUCCAAGGACAAGGAUCCAAGCUGAUCCUGCAAUAGGAGGCUUCCGGGAGGGAGCGCUACUCGGCGCUGCUCACCUGGUACAAUCAAGUGACACACCGUGUGUGCCAGCCAGGUGCCGCACACAGACACCCACGUACAGGGCGGUGGCCGGACGUGAGGCUCAGUCCCCCACCAGCAUCUCGGCUCUGGGCGGCUUCUCACAGCAAAGAUCCAGAGAGAGCCUCGGAGGGGACAGACCAGAACCAAGACAGAGAGACGGGAGGGGCCGUGCCAAGUGCCCGCAGUGUCCCCCGGGUCUGGUGCUCAGGGAGAGACGAGGGAGAGAAGUCCCCACGCACAAAGUGAGCACAGGGUCUGAGGAGCAUUACCCCGCAGCUUCCCUCUUCCUCACACCACCUCCCUGUGUCCGUGGGCUGCGCUGCCACGUGUGUGUACACGUCUGUGUGUUUCAGCCCUACUGCUGUCGGCACCGGGAUGAUGGAGGCCAAGCCUAGU